CUACGGGAUGCAGCAGUGGGGAAUCUUGCGCAAUGGGGGAAACCCUGACGCAGCAAUACCGCGUGAGUGAAGAAGGCCUUUGGGUCGUAAAGCUCUUUUCUUGGGAAGAUAGUGACGGUACCCAAGGAAUAAGCACCGGCUAACUCCGUGCCAGCAGCCGCGGUAAUACGGAGGGUGCAAGCGUUGUUCGGAUUUACUGGGCGUAAAGGGCACGUAGGCGGCACAGCAAGUUAAGGGUGAAAUCCCGGGGCUCAACUCCGGAACUGCUCUUAAAACUGCUGAGCUAGAGAUAGUCAGAGGCGGGUGGAAUUCCAGGUGUAGAGGUGAAAUUCGUAGAUAUCUGGAGGAACACCGGUGGCGAAGGCGGCCCGCUGGGGCUAUUCUGACGCUAAGGUGCGAAAGCGUGGGGAGCAAACGGGAUUAGAUACCCCUGUAGUC
rnacentral:rRNA from 1 species